rnacentral:rRNA from 1 species
AGAACGAACGCUGGCGGCAUGCCUAAUACAUGCAAGUCGAACGAACUCUUCGGAGUUAGUGGCGCACGGGUGCGUAACGCGUGGGAAUCUGCCCCUUGGUUCGGAAUAACAGUUGGAAACGACUGCUAAUACCGGAUGAUGACGAAAGUCCAAAGAUUUAUCGCCAAGGGAUGAGCCCGCGCAGGAUUAGCUAGUUGGUGAGGUAAAGCUCACCAAGGCAACGAUCCUUAGCUGGUCUGAGAGGAUGAUCAGCCACACUGGGACUGAGACACGGCCCAGACUCCGUACGGGAGCAGCAGUAGGGAAUAUGGACAAGUGGGACGAAAGCCUAGAUCCAGCAAAGUGCCGCGUGAGUGAUGAAGCGUUAGGUGUAAAGUCUUCUUUACCGAGA